rfam:Singulisphaera acidiphila DSM 18658, complete genome.
CCCACCGUGAGGUGGGAUCUGAAGGAAGCCGAUGCCAUAACCUCGGACUCGACGAACAGAAACCGGAUACAAGGCCGACGCGGUGGGGUAACCCGGCAAUGGACGGGGACGCCCGAAAGUCAUCCAGACACGCGCGGAGGUAAAUCCGGCGAGGCCCGAGCGAAGGACUCACGAC